UCUUAUGGAUGAGCAAAGAAAGUGGUUUCUUGAAAUGGAAUCUCCUGGUGAAGAUGCUGUGAA
rnacentral:pre_miRNA from 1 species